rnacentral:rRNA from 1 species
AUACGUAGGGUGCAAGCGUUAAUCGGAAUUACUGGGCGUAAAGCGUGCGCAGGCGGCUUUGUAAGACAGAGGUGAAAUCCCCGGGCUCAACCUGGGAACUGCCUUUGUGACUGCAAGGCUAGAGUACGGCAGAGGGGGAUGGAAUUCCGCGUGUAGCAGUGAAAUGCGUAGAUAUGCGGAGGAACACCGAUGGCGAAGGCAAUCCCCUGGGCCUGUACUGACGCUCAUGCACGAAAGCGUGGGGAGCAAACAGGAUUAGAUACCCUGGUAGUCCACGCCCUAAACGAUGUCAACUGGUUGUUGGGUCUUCAUUGACUCAGUAACGAAGCUAACGCGUGAAGUUGACCGCCUGGGGAGUACGGCCGCAAGGUUGAAACUCAAAUGAAUUGACGGGG